AACGAACGCUGGCGGCAGGCCUAACACAUGCAAGUCGAACGCCCGUAGCAAUACGGGAGUGGCAGACGGGUGAGUAACGCGUGGGAACGUGCCCUUCGGUUCGGAAUAACUCAGGGAAACUUGAGCUAAUACCGGAUACGUCCGUAAGGAGAAAGAUUUAUUGCCGAAGGAUCGGCCCGCGUCGGAUUAGCUAGUUGGUGGGGUAAUGGCCCACCAAGGCGACGAUCCGUAGCUGGUCUGAGAGGAUGAUCAGCCACACUGGGACUGAGACACGGCCCAGACUCCUACGGGAGGCAGCAGUGGGGAAUAUUGGACAAUGGGCGAAAGCCUGAUCCAGCCAUGCCGCGUGAGUGAAGAAGGCCUUAGGGUUGUAAAGCUCUUUCAGCGGGGAAGAUAAUGACGGUACCCGCAGAAGAACGCCCCGGCUAACUUCGUGCCAGCAGCCGC
rnacentral:rRNA from 1 species